GGCGCCAUGGCCAAGUGGGAAGGCAAAGGUCUGCAACACCUCUACCCCCAGUCCGAAUCUGGGUGGCGCCUCCA
rnacentral:tRNA from 1 species